GACGAACGCUGGCGGCGUGCUUAACACAUGCAAGUCGAACGGAAAGGCCCUGCUUGCAGGGUACUCGAGUGGCGAACGGGUGAGUAACACGUGGGUGAUCUGCCCUGCACUUCGGGAUAAGCCUGGGAAACUGGGUCUAAUACCGGAUAGGAGCCAUUUUUAGUGUGAUGGUUGGAAAGUUUUUUUCGGUGUAGGAUGAGCUCGCGGCCUAUCAGCUUGUUGGUGGGGUGAUGGCCUACCAAGGCGGCGACGGGUAGCCGGCCUGAGAGGGUGGACGGCCACAUUGGGACUGAGAGACGGCCCAGACUCCUACGGGAGGCAGCAGGGGGGAAUAUUGCACAAUGGGCGCAAGCCUGAUGCAGCGACGCCGCGUGGGGGAUGACGGCCUUCGGGUUGUAAACUCCUUUCGGUAGGGACGAAGCUUUUUGUGACGGUAACUAGAUAAGAAGCACCGGCUAACUACGUG
rnacentral:rRNA from 1 species